CAAAAGUUCACCCCAAGCUUGGGCUUGGAGAACAGUGUAUGAGCAUUCCCAACGAAACCGCCAAGUCGGAUGGUCCUGCUGUACGUGUGGUUACAGGGACCGGGAAUGAGUGGUUUAAGUUCCUUGCCUAGUCAAGGAACUUAUGCUGAGAGGAACUUAUGAAGAAGGAACUUAUGAUGAGGAUUCCCAACGAAACCGCCAAGUCGGAGGGUCUUGCUGUACGUGUGGUUACAGGGACCGGGAAUGAGUGGUUUGAGUUCCUGGCCUAGUCAAGGAACUUAUGAUGAAAGAACCUACGGGAGAGAGAGAGAGAUAACCCCUGCGAGAACUUAUGGUGAGAGAACUUACGGAGACCAGGAAUAGUGGAGCGAGUUGCUUGCCCAGACAAGGAACGUAUGAGAGAACUCCUGAGAGAACUCCUGAGAGAACCUACGGGAGAGAGAGAGAUAACCUCUGCGAGAACCUAGGAGGGAGAGAACUCUGAAGGAAUCCGACAGCAGAGUGAGCUGGUGAAGGAUCCAUUGGGAGGGUGUGUUCCCAAAGAAGCCGCCGAGACGAGGGAAGUUUUGGUGUACGAGUCGGAAGCGUCCGCGACCCUAGUGUCGUAUGGUAUGUGUUCUCAAGUGGAGUAUGUGUUCUCUAGUGGAUAGCCUCGUGUGAGCUGGCUAUAGAGAGUCCGUUGGAAUAUGUGUUUUCAUGUGUAAGACGACCUGAACACUCGCCGUGGACUGCGAGGGAGAACUGGGUUUCUAUUGGAAUAGGUGUUGUGUGUGUAAGUGAGUCUGUACGUUCGCCGUGGACUGUGAAGGAGCGUUCGUGCCCCAGAGAUCGGACUUUUAUGUCGCGGAAGAGACGUGAGUAAACCAGUAACUGUAAGUGUUAAUCUUUAUAUACAAUAUCUGAGAAACUAUGUGCGCUCGAGACUUAUUUCCAGAGUGGCGCUUUGUAUUGUUAUAACACCGCGGGAAUUGGACAGGCACGGUGGACUACCACCGUUGAGAGAGGACAGUGUGCCGAAUGUCAUGUGUAUUGGAUAGUUAGUGUAUGUUUAUGCUUUGUGGUUUUGUUAAUUUGUUUUUGGGUCUACCAGACCUUUGACCCACUUUCCCCGAGAGAGAGGAUAAGUAAGGGUUUUUUUUUUUUAGUAAAGAACACGAGAAGCCCAUUGGCAGAUCGCUGUGUUUUGUGUUGUGUGAACGCGCGUGACGUCAGUGUGUGACGUGGUCGUGACAAUUGGUGACCCCGACGUGAUCUGUCGUGGGUCUGUCUCGUGUUGUGAUUUGUCGUGCGCAAGUUGUCCUCCUUGGAGAUUACUUUUGGAGAUUUAUUUAUUUUUUUUUCCUGAUUUUGUUUGUUGUUGUGUUUUUGUGUUGUUUUGUUUUUUUUAGUUUGUUUUUUUUUUGUUGUUGUUUUGUGUCUGUGUUUGUUUAUGGUUUUUAUUUUGUUUUUGUUCUAUCCCCGUCUCCAGCUCUACGGGUCUGCGGAGAUUGUAUAGUUCGCUCCAAAGAGAGGGUCUAGUCUCUUUUUUCUACUGUUGGUCUCGUCUUUCCUUCCCUGCUCUUUCCUCUGUGUACGAGCGUGUGUGCAGUAACCGGAAGUAGGCGUGGAUGAUAUCUAUCCUGUAGCUAUCUGUCUUGUUGUUUUUAUGAAAAAAA